rnacentral:lncRNA from 1 species
GGGAGCUGUGGAGUGCAGACACAGAAACCUACAGCUACAUGUUUAUUAGUUUCCUGCAGGUAUGGGUUUUGUUAUUUCAUUGUUUUAGACUAUGCUCACCACCUUGUUUAAGCACCUCAUCUUUAUGCUUGUAUGGCUGCCGUGUGGCGCCAACUUUGUAAAUUAUGUUUAGCAAGUUUUGCUGGCUGGGCUCUCACGUUGCCGCAUGCACCGAUGAGGGGGAGCUGUGCAGUGCAGACACGGAAACAUACAUCUACAUGUUUGUUAUUUGUUUCCUGCAGGCCAAUAAAACGAGAAGAUAAAAGUCCAAGCUGGCUUCAGUAGUUUCGUACGGUCAGGGAGAGAGGCUGCAAUGAACAGCGUUACACUAACGGGUUCACUGAAGAAAUGGAACUGAUGGUCACACAGAUUUAUGGAGGCAGACAUCCAAACCUAGAUUGGACCUCCAGGAGAGACGAGUGUGGCCACUGGGACGUGCCCAUUUAUGGACUUAAAGGUGCCCCAACCAACCUUCUUAUCAAGCCUCUCUUCCACCGCUACCACCUCUUAGCGAGCCUCUGGUGGGACGGGUUCAUCCUCUGGCUCUGUCUGUGCUGAGACUUAAUUAUGAUAUGCCACAGCAACGUCAGCCCCAAGUAUUGGCUGAGGUGGAGUCAACUUUAGCAGCAGUGAUGCAGCAUCAUAAUGCACUAGACUGCGCCCUACAGAACCUCGCAGCGCAGAUGAAGGCACUCCCUAAAGUUGUGGGCUGUGAGCUGCCACCUACUCGGGAUUUGCUGGUUAUAGACGGACAUGGAUCUACUCUGCAGCUUGCAUUAUUACACGCCAACUGUUUGAUAAAGGGAAGGGAACAAACUCAAUACUUGGUGGAGGAAAGGUUGUCUGCAAUACAUCUGAAUCUGAACUGUGAUAAAGAAAAAUAA